rnacentral:misc_RNA from 1 species
AGCAGCCGCGGUAAUUCCAGCUCCAAUAGCGUAUAUUAAAGUUGUUGCAGUUAAAAAGCUCGUAGUUGAAUUUCGGGACCAAUUUGUUGGUCGUGCCUCGGUACGUACUGGUAUUAUUGGUUUCUCCCUUCUGAAGAACCUCGAUGCCAUUAAUUUGGUGUCGUGGGGAAUCAGGACUGUUACUUUGAAAAAUUAGAGUGUUUAAAGCAAGCAUACGCUUGAAUACAUUAGCAUGGAAUAAUGAAAUAGGACGUUUGAUUCUAUUUUGUUGGCUUCUAGGAUUGACGUAAUGAUUAAUAGGGAUAGUUGGGGGCAUUAGUAUUCAAUUGCCAGAGGUGAAAUUCUUGGAUUUAUUGAAGACUAACUACUGCGAAAGCAUUUGCCAAGGAUGUUUUCAUUAAUCAAGAACGAAAGUUAGGGGAUCGAAGACGAUCAGAUACCGUCGUAGUCUUAACCAUAAACUAUGCCGACUAGGGAUCGGAUGAUGUUAAUUUUUUAAUGACUCAUUCGGCGCCUUACG